CCGUGAUGAACUAACCGUCUGUCGCUGGGGAGGAGUUCCGAUUGGGAAAUUGCAGAAAAAAUCUUAAUUAACAAAUAGCACGAUAGAUAUAUGACAUUCGCUUAAGGCAGCGCCGCUCACUUUAAAGAGUGACCUAGUUGGCACCUAGUGUAGACUGGUGUGCGUGGAUUAUUUUAUUUGUAAUGUUGUUAUACCUAAUUAGUUUAUUAGAGUUUUCUAAUUUAAACUUUUGUUUAGAAGAUUAACAGUUUUGUUAUGGAUUUGUAGAUUCGAUGAACCCUUCUGAGUAACAUCUCAAAAGUCAUAGCAAGGUAGCUUGUACUGGAA
rnacentral:rRNA from 1 species